CCUUCUUCUGUUGACCUGGCAUGUUGGAACAGAAGUAUGGCAAAAUGGGGGUGGGAAGUGGGCCAGGAACUGCAUCAAGGAGACUUUAGUGGAGCUUCCCUAGACAGAGGCAGUCUACCUCCAAAAAUCUGCCUUUCGUGCAAAAAGGAGAAAGAAAUAUGAUGCAUAUAAUAUUCAGUACAUGUGACACAUCGGUAAGCAAAGGAUCAAACUGUUAAUUUUGGACAACAAUGGCUGCAAAGUUUGAUGGGAGUUAGCAGAGGCAGCUAAACGGACUGAUUAAAAAAAGAACAUAAUUGUGUUUCUAGUUGGAAACCACUUUUGGACUUCGUGCUUAAGGUGGGGAAAAAUAAAUAAAUCUUCGAUUUUGAGCUUUGCCAGUUAGAUUUGAUGCUACAGAAGGUAUGUGUUAUAUAAAAGUAAAAAGCUGAAGUGUUAUUCUACUGGAUCAAAAGGAGUCAAGGAAAUUAAUGCUUUUCCCUGCGCCCUACACUUUUUUCUCCUCCUCUCUUCCUCCACUAUUUUACCUUUACUUGUAUUUUUCUUUAUAUUUUGAAUUUAUGUACGAUAAACUAAUAAAAGAUUGAAAACACAAACAAUAAAAGGCACCGAUUGCUUGUGAAGUUUGAACAGCAGGAAACAUUGAUUCCAAAUAAAACUUUAGAUGUGACAAAUUAAGUUA